UACGUAGGGUGCGAGCGUUGUCCGGAAUUAUUGGGCGUAAAGAGCUUGUAGGCGGUUUGUCGCGUCUGCCGUGAAAAUCCGGGGCUCAACCCCGGACUUGCGGUGGGUACGGGCAGGCUAGAGUGCGGUAGGGGAGAAUGGAACUCCUGGUGUAGCGGUGGAAUGCGCAGAUAUCAGGAAGAACACCGAUGGCGAAGGCAGUUCUCUGGGCCGUAACUGACGCUGAGGAGCGAAAGCGUGGGGAGCGAACAGG
rnacentral:rRNA from 1 species